rnacentral:rRNA from 1 species
UACGGGGGGGGGCAAGCGUUGUUCGGAAUUACUGGGCGUAAAGGGCUCGUAGGCGGCCAACUAAGUCAUACGUGAAAUCCCUCGGCUUAACCGGGGAACUGCGUCUGAUACUGGAUGGCUUGAGUUCGGGAGAGGGAUGCGGAGUUCCAGGUGUAGCGGUGAAAUGCGUAGAUAUCUGGAGGAACACCGGUGGCGAAGGCGGCAUCCUGGACCGGCAUUGACGCUGAGGCGCGAAAGCCAGGGGAGCAAAGCGGG